UGGGAUGAUGCCAUAUGCUCUAAUUCUGCGGAUCCGUCGUACAGCGACCGGCCGGGAUCAACUUGGUGGUUGUGGCUCUGAGCGAUUAGUUCGGUCUACGAUUCGUUUGAUCGUCGAAAUAAUUUUCACUUUUUGAACAGUGCGAGCCACCCUAAUAUUCGAACGAACUUCGCACACUGAGGCGGGUGGACCGGCGAGCAUAAAUGCGAAGGUGAUGAGCUAUGGCUGCCCCCGACCCGGGCAUGGUUCGGUUUCGACGAAAUCGCCGUGGAGUUCAAGCCAGUUUCACGAUCCUGGUCUUGGUCUUGGCACUGCUGACGACUCUGGGCCAUGAUGGUGCGUGGGCCUUCCGUAUACGGGACGGAAGUUCAGCAUCGUCGGAGCUCACGCGACCUACGACGUGCAACCCUCUCCUCGGCAGGUGUACGGAAACGAGAAACCCGGUAGGAACAUCGGCGUCUUCGUCAUCCCCCACGCUUGGUAUACGUAAGAGAUUUGAAAGUUCGAACACUUCACCACCAAGUACGGCGAAGAUUCAACAACCACUUGUUGAAGAGUCGGUCGAAGCGGUCGAAUUUGACGAGGGAAAGUCCGUCGGUCGUUCGAGUUACGGCAAAUCAAAAUCCGUCAGAUUACAACUGCGGACUCCGUUCGUUUCCAAGGCAAAUAUCGGCCGAGGAGGUGGGAAGUCAAACCCUCCCUUGUCGAGCGAUGAAGACGAUAAGGGCGAAGAAACUGAAGAAAAUGACGAUGACGAUCAAGAGGGUGGAGACGAUACUGAUGAUGGAAACGUCGACGAAGAAAAUAUGGACGAUACCGAAGAAGAGAAUGACGACGAAAAUAUCGGUAAGAGUGACGCCGAGGACGACGACGAUGACGACGAUGAGAAGAGUAAUUCUGUUGACAACGAAGAUAGUGAAAUAGACUCAAAUGAGUUGGAUGAAGGGGAGGAUGAGGACGAGUCAUUGGAAUCUGAGGCUUCACAGAAUGACGACGAAGAAGCUGAUGUCGAAGAAAGAAAUACAAUAGAAAACGACGAUGACACUGAUUCCGACCAACGUGAUCCUAAAAUUGGGAAAUACACCAGUGGUAACGUUAGAGUUACAAAUGAGCAGGAAAUAUCGAAUGAUAAAACAAAUGUGAGAGUUGGAUCUACACGUGAUCCAAGGUCGGUUGAAAAGAAGAUGAUUAAGAGGACAGUCGACGAUAUCGCAGGAGUUGAUGAAGUGCAAGCAGUCCCAAAAGAAAGAAAAGUGGACGUCAAUGUGGCAUCAAACAGUGAUCAAAUGACGAGUAGGCCAGUAAACUUGAUUCACGUGAAAACAAGCGAUGAAAAAGUUGCUGCUCCGAAAUCAAAAAUUAUUAAUGAAAUCGUGCAGCCUCCAGCAAAAAGCAAAAUGGACGCUGAUAAGAAUGUUAACGAUACCGAAAGCGACGACGAUGAUUCCGAUAAAGACGAUGAAAGUGACAUAGUGGUGGAAAUUGCGCUUCCCUCACGAAAACUUGAAAAAGUUAGACUUGCUGACAAAUCAAAAUCCAUGGAGGCAACAAGAGCUAAAUCUUUGGAAGAAACAGCGAAAAAGACCGUGUCGCCAAAUGUUGAGAAAGCUUCGAGUGAACGAAAGACAAUCGAGCCUUCCAAACCGGCGAAGCCUUCUGUGCAAGAAUCUGAAGUGAAAUUUGAUAAAAAAUCAACGGAAACGAUCGCUUCUACUGUCCCCACCGUCAAUUCGCGGGAAACGAAAAAAUCCAAAGUGCAAGAAUCGGGAAAAACAAUACCUCAGCAAAAAAAAGAAAACAAGCCACAGCCGAAACAAUCCGAAAAAAUGGCAGCCAAAGCACCUGGACCGAAGAUAGAUCAGAAGCCGGAAAAGUUGAAACCGAAGCUUGAGAAACGGACAGGAGCUGUCGUUACUCUUUCGGAACUGAACGACCUAUUACUGCACGUGCCAUCGUUUACUCCAAAUUUUACCGCAAUAGAAGACCCGGUUUGUCAGCAGCAUGGAAAAAUAUUUUUGCGACAACUUCGUGGGUAUAAAUUAUGGGCUUUACAGAUGUUGGAUGCGAGUGCUAAGCUUCCAUCGGGUUUAUUGCGUGGGAAUCUGAAUCAACUCGGAGACUUCGAUCAAUGCAUCGGUGUAAAGGCGCACGUAAAGAUAGACGAGAAGACCGUUAAAGUUCAGGGAAAGUAUUGUCUGGCGACGAUCGAUCUUCAAGCGACGCGGCAGGAGAUGAAAAUUCCCGUGAACAUGAUGCAAAGUCGAGCUUUUCUCAGGGCCAGUAUGAACGAGCCGGCGCACUUUAUCCCACGAUUUACAACCGUCAAUUGGGCUCUCUGCGUUCCGGCUGCAUGCUCGGCAGAAGAUGUUCGGUCCGUGAUGGAAAGUGCUUUGAGUUCUUACAACGUCUCGUUAGGGUUGAAGUUCAACGUUGGUCUUGACUCAGAAUCUUGCUACGUCAAAGAAAAGCCGCAACCCUACUCCAAGGAAACAGUUGCCGUAUUGUAUUUUUACGCGAUGACUGUUUGUCUGGUCUUCGUAGCGACGGUGCGCGAUUUCAUUGUCACCUCCGAUGGACCAGGUAGCUACUCGGAGAGAAUAAUAAUGGCAUUUUCUUUACGUCGAACGACCACCGCAUUGUUGGUGGACUCCCAAGAUGGCAAAGACAUUCGUUGUAUACACGGCAUCAGAACUUUGGCAACAAUUUUUCUUUACAUUGCUCACAAACUGAUACCCAUCGCCAGGAUUCCAUUUGCCAACAGAAUAUCCUUGACCGAAGUGGCCAACAGUCCCAUAAGUUCGGUUCUAAGAGUCUCGCUUAUCUACACAGAUUCCUUUCUUCUACUCAGCGGAGUUCUUACAGCGUAUCACAUGGCCAGUGAGUUCAAUAAACGCGGAGAGAUAAGAUGGUUUUGUAGAUUCGUCACGAGGUUUAUCAGGUUGACCCCAGCUCUAUUAGCGGUGGUGUAUUGGUAUGCAUUCGUCAUGGAGCAUACGGGGUUCGGACCCCAGUGGAGUCCAGUCGUUAAAAGCAACGCCGAUCUUUGCAAGAAAAAUGCAUGGACCAAUUUGCUUUACAUACAGAAUUUCUUUCCAUUCGAAGAAAUGUGUGCAACUCACACCCAUCAGCUGGCUUUGGACAUGCAGCUGUCUCUGAUAGCCCCAAUGUUGGUCUUUUUCCUCUACAACAAGCCCAUAGUCGGGCUGCUGGUCAUACUUUUCUUACUGCAAGUUUCGGCUACCGUUCGCUACUUAGCUACUACGAGCAACUACUUGUCCCUGGUCAUCUUUCACGGCAUGACAUUGAAACAUCUUUACAAAACGGCCAACUUGACCUACGCUUUACCACUGCACAGGGCAACACCCUAUUUGUUCGGUGUAGCGCUCGGAGUGCUGUUGCGUAAUACCGGCAAGCAAGUUCGAAUUCAUAAGGCGUUUGUAUUCGCUGGAUGGUUGACGGCUGCUAGUCUGGGAUCUUGGUCGUUAUUUUCCACAUGGAGAUUAGCCAGAAGGGAUUAUUCAUACGACGUUGAAGAAGCAACGUUCUACGCUGUUAUCUUACCAGUUUGUUGGGCUGCUUCGUUGUGUUGGAUUAUUUUCGCCUCGUACACCGAGCACGGAGGUGCGGUGAACAGAUUUUUAUCUAGCUAUUGGCUGGUCGUAUUGAGCAGGUUAUCAUACUCCGUUUAUCUGACACAAUUUGCCGUAUUUUUCUAUAAUGUUGGAACUACGAGAUACGCAUCAGAAUUUCAAGUUCACAGAGCCAUCGAUUUGUACGAAGUAGCGAGUGUCAUUUGCGUAUCAAUUGUACUGACGCUCCUCUUAGAUUUACCUAUGCAAGAAGUAAAAAAUGUGAUAAUGGAAUGCACAAAUGACCCGGUAAUCGAAAAAAUUAGUUCUGUUGGGCAUGAUGCCGAAGUGACGAGAGUCGCCGAUGAACAAGUUCCAGAAGAGCCACUGGAAAUUCGAGAACCAUUCGAAUUCCGAAACGUUGAUCCGGUCAAUUGGGGGCAGCAAAGAAGGAUCACGCCCGGAGAAGGGGAUGAAUAUGCAGAAGACAACGAGCCACCUGAAGGCUGGACUUACAGGGACAAUGAGAACGUAAGGACACAGUCGUUCGUUCGACGCAUCGUAGACGAAGAAGAGGAACCGACUUGGGGCUGGACAAAAGGUCCUGUCCGAAGGAUACCGAGACAUAACAUCGAGAAUGAUCGGGUCUUAGGAGCGGAAAGAAGGAGUCAAAGUCGACAGGAAUAUUCAGACAAUGACUACUCCGACGAACCAAAGUUCGUGAAAAAACAACAAGGGCGGGAUGAAGAGGAAUAUCGUAGGGAUCAACGGUCGCAGUCCAGAGCGUUUGAAAGCAGAAGAUCGUUGAGCAGGGACUUAGAUGAAAUUUCGUUGAGCGUGAAAAAAAGAAACGGUUCCAUUCCGAGAACUGGAGAAAUGAACAGAUCUUCCGCGAAAGACUUUGCUGCAACCCCGAGAGAAUUCGCGAGGGCAGAACGAUCUCUGACAAGAGAAACUGACAAUAAUGCGAUCGCUUCGAAGUGGAGAUCGGACGAGCAACCAUCGUGGGAAUACACCAAACGGGAACGUUCGGCAUCUCAGAGUGCUAGGGACGGCGAACGAUUAGCGGUUAAAGGGUUAGAAGCACAACGGUCCGCGUUGAGAUUAUCAACGGGGUCUUUACCACACGCGAGUGGAGAAUUUCAGGUGAAAACCUCGAGUGGGAGUGAAAGGGAGUCGAAUCGAGAAGAGAAACCAAAACUUGCAAAGACAAUGCCGCUGGAAGAACCGAGAGUCAGUGACGAAGAGGGCUGGGAAGAGGAACUCAAACUGCGCAGGGAAACGAUAUCGAAAACUUUACCCUCCGAGGAAACUACAGGAACCGCAAGCGAAGAGGAAGAGUGGAAUGUUUUGAAGAGGCGCUCUUCCGCGGAAGGAAAAAUGGCUUUACUCAAUGACUCGGCCAAAAUUGAACAUUUCGGUGCAUGGAGCAUGAGAAAAGUACCACAAGGUUCCGACUCCGUUUCUCACGAAUUCAGUGAAAGCGAUGAAGAAAAUUCUUACCACGGUUCGAGAAACGAUUAUCGCGAGACUCGACCACCGUUCCGGGAAAGUUACGAGACUCAGAGUGACGACGAGGCCAGCAGUUGGAAUCCUUCGAGGCAACAAUCAUAUACCAGUAGUCAGCCAACGUCGGUAGACGAGGAGGGGGAUUCUUCUGCUUAUGAUUUUGUCCUGAAAAAGGUGAGCAAACGAUCAUCCCUUCAGAAUCUGAGCAGAAUAUCGCAGGAGGAACCGGAACCCGAGGAAGAUUCCGGAUGGGAUUUUGUCAAAGAAGAAAACACAGAUACCGGAAAUCUAAAGACCACGGCAACGGGGCUCUUCAAGCGUGCUUCUAUAGUAAAAAGUCAAGCGAGCGAAGAAGACCCUGAGUAUUUGCUACCGGAAAGACCGAAACUCGUGGAACAGGAGCAAGAGCACCCUUUCAAGAAGGCAUGGCAAAUGCAGAAAUCAAGAUCAGAGGAAGACGGUCCAACUGGAUUCCUAGUGAAGGACAAAGAUGCCAAUCCAAAGACAAGCGGCGCUGAAAAUCGGAAAGAUAAUUCCAAGCAGGAGGAAUUGGCGAAGCGGAGACCAACGUCGGGUGGGCAAAAAGAAGAUCUGAGUUACUUUGCAGGUGAUGAAGCGGAAUCAACUUCGGUUUCGUAUCCCGCAAGCAACAGCGGCGAUAGUGCGAAUUUAGAUUGGGCUGAAGAAGAAGAACGAUCGGAAGGCAGCAGGUUUGAUGAUACGGAGCUGGAAUCGACGGAAUCGCUGGACAAAGAGAUGCCGCUUUCGGAAGAAAGGGAAGAACAGAAUCGAUACUCGGAAGAGUUGAACUGGAAGUGGAACCAAGAAGAGACUUGACGAUCGCGGAAUGUGGAUUUGAAUGAUCAUUGAGCUGUGAUUGAGUGAUAUUUAUGAAAAAACAGCUGGCUGAAAUGAAGGGCAAUGAGCAGCGAAUCCCUGUUUUGAAAGAAGCAAUUCCGUGUGUUCAAAAAUGUCGACUCGCCAAUCAACCAAUAAGCUAAAACGUCAAUUAACAAAUAAAUGAAGGUAUCGAAAUAUUCCAUCGUCGGUUGGUUCGCGGCGAUUCGUAUUCCCAAGGAAAUAAAUCGACGUUACAAAGAGAAGAAUGGCCGGUUAUUGCGAACUGAUAAAAAAAUCAUGAAUUAUACAGCGACUGAUUGUGAGGGGUGUUCCCCCAGCGCAAAGAUAGGACUAUUUUUGUUUCCAAUACACAAUUGAAUUCUACUCAUGUAUUAUGGCAAAAUAAACAAUACAUGCAUAUCCGA